GAAUUAACUUACAGGCUCACUUGAUUUUCUCCUGUGUUUAUGUAGGUGGAGGUCUGUUCUUUGAGAACCCUGUAAGGCCCUCAAGGAUCCUUAUGUCUUGGUGGAGAUCAUUUCACGGACCUUGACAAGCUCUUCUGAAACCUCUGACUUUAUUUGCAUGAGAAGGACUUCAUAACAUCACUUUUGGGACUGAACAAGGGAGCAAGGAAUUUUGGAAUGAGCUCACUACCCACUGAGACCUUUUUUGUUUUGAUUACUGGAUUGUACCGAGUGUUAUCCUGACAGCAGAGCACUGGUGCCAGUGGGAAAGAUGCUGUCUCAUGGGAGCUCUUUAACUGGAAAAAUGAAAGUCUAAAUACAUGGGCACUUCAGCUGAGGGCAGGGGUGUUGAUCUCCAGCAGAAUACAAGGUGACCCUGCUUGUCUGAUGGAGAUUGGAGGUA
rnacentral:lncRNA from 1 species